AGUGUACCUCAAUUUUUUUUUUUUACAUAAGGAAAAAAUGAGAAGGCUAAACCCAGUUAGGAAAUCAUUGUGAAACUUCCAGUGAGAGAUGAUGGUACCAAUGGAGGUGGUGUAAGUAGUUGGAUGGAAGACAUGUAUUGGAGGAUACAGAAAAGACUUGCUUGCCACUUGGGUGUAAGGAAUGAGAAAAAAGAAAAGAAUCAAGGAUUACAAGGAUGAAGGACUUGUAUCUCUCCUGGAGUGACUCAGCAAAGCCAGAUGGCUCAGAAUCCUCAGGAAGCUCCCACUGGGUUAAAAGAAGAACUCGUAGCUGCUCUGUGCUGCCUUUAUUACUGGUUAUGGACCACCUUCGUGGAACGACUCAAGGUCUCCACAGUGUACAUUUGCCUUCCUGAAAAACACAGAAGUCUUCGAAACGAACUAUUGCGGAUGAAUGGAUAGAGACGAAAUAGCCCC